rnacentral:siRNA from 1 species
GUAUGGGCCUCGGUUUGGGCCUUA